CAGCAUGCUGCCACCGAAUCUCCUGAUUGUGUCACUGGUCAUCCUCCUGGCGACCACAGUCUCUACGGCUCCCGUCGAGGAGAAGGAGCGAGAAGAAGCUGAACUAGAGGCUACAGAGGAGGUGGAGGGCGAGCUGUCUGAGGAGGAAGAGGCAGGUAAUCUUGGCACUCAGCAGACCAUCACUUCCAUAGCGGCGGCCGGAGGUUCAGUUUCUGGUGGUCCAUCAGCAGGAAUGGGACCAAACGACGGAGCGGCAGGAAGUUCUGCAGGUAAAACUGGACAAAAAUCACAAAACUGACAGGAGAAACUGAGGCUGAAAUUAGGAUUUUUUUUAUUUUUUUAUCUGUUUUUAAUGAAAGUUUGAAUGUUUUUGAUUCCACUAAAC
rnacentral:lncRNA from 1 species